GAGGGUAUAGCUUAGUGGUAGAGUGUAUGCUUAGUAUACAUGAAGUCCUGGGCUCAAUCCCCAGGACCUCCA
rfam:Camelus ferus unplaced genomic scaffold scaffold1244, whole genome shotgun sequence.